ACGCCUGGCCUGAGAAAUUGACACCCGAGUGAAUGGAGGCGAAUGCACCUGCUUCAGUUGAGGAAGGCAGAUCACCAAAGGCGGCAGGAGUCCAGUGGUGAGGAUGGGAGGUCGGGAGAAGCUAAGAAGAAGGAGAGAAGAGACUCUACAGUGGGAGAACCACUUUGGGAAGAGCAGGAUCAGCCCCUUUAUCAUUUCGGUUUCCCUCUUCUGCUGCACCUUCUUCAGUUCGACAGUAUCGCUUUUUUGGUAAUCUGGCGACCGGAAGGAUACACUUUACUUCUGAGGAACAGCUACAACUGGAAACAAGGUCAGCUUCUUCUUGUUGUUGUUGUUGUUGUUGUUAUAGCCCAGUAAGCUUCCAGACCACCUUGGGUUUAUCCUCUCUUUUUGACAGUUAAAGCACCACAUUUUCAUUGAUGCCAGGAGAUGUUGAACAGUAGGGCACACAUCCUGGGGUGCCUCUGUUAUGGCACAAGAGAUAUUCCCAGACUGAUUGGGCAAGGUUCGGACCACAAUGUGUGUCUGGACAUUUAAAUUUGCAUUCUGAUUGGGCAAGACCUCUAGGGUUUUUAAAUUCUGUCUUGAUCGAAUUGGGCAAGAUCUCUAGGAUUUUUAAAUUGUAUAUGGAAUUGGGCAAGAUCAAGGCCUGUGUGGGCCUCGAUUUUUAAAUUGCAUCCCCCAGCUUGACCUUUACAAUUGUAUUCUGAUUGGGCAAGACCUCUAGGGUUUUUAAAUUCUGUAUGGAAUUGGGCAAGAUCAGGGCCUGUGUGGGCCUCGAUUUUUAAAUUGCAUCCCCCAGCUUGACCUUUACAAUUGUAUUCUGAUUGGGCAAGACCUCUAGGGUUUUUAAAUUCUGUAUGGAAUUGGGCAAGAUCGGGGCCUGUGUGGGCCUCGAUUUUUAAAUUGCAUCCCCCAGCUUGACCUUUACAAUUAUAUACUGAUUGGGCAAGACCUCUAGGGUUUUUAAAUUCUGUAUGGAAUUGGGCAAGAUCAGGGCCUGUGUGGGCCUCGAUUUUUAAAUUGCAUCCCCCAGCUUGACUGAGCACACAAUCUCUAGGUUCCCUUAGAGUGAAUUGGGCAUGAUACCAUUUUUUUAAAAUUCCAUGUUUGGGCAGCUUUAAGCCAGUGGACUGGAGUCCCGUGAGCUUGGAAUCUCCAAUGGCUCAACUGGGCAAGACAAUUGGUGUCUUUAAAUUCUGUCAGGGCCUUGUGGACAUAUUUUUCAGCCAGGGGUGUAGUGUUAAAUUUGGAUCGACUGACCACCCACUUAUAUUCAUGCUCAUGAUAAAGUCUGAAUCAAAUGGAUCACGUUGCGUGUUUUAUAUGCGCUGUGUCCCAAGUCCUGAG